ACUUAUGCCCUCGAUCAAGUCACCGCAUAGGUUACUUCAUGCGAGGAGAUCAAGCUCUUCAUCAACCACUAAAUCUGAAUCAAUAUUAUCUUGUCUGUCAUCAGUAUGCUGACCCUAACAAAACUAAGUCAUGCAAUCUUUUUAUCUCUAUGGAUUUAAAGGUAUUAACCGUCCUGCUAACAAUAUUACUACUAGAACCUAAUGACACCCCCACGUUUAGAAUAUUUUUAGCAACCACAGCAUCUUGAAAAGAAUCAAAAGAGAUGUUUGAAAUGUCGUUACCUUUAAGCUGAGGUCCCUCAAAAAAUUCCCGUGCUUUUGGCCUAGCCUCCUUUUCAAUUGAAUCUUGG
rnacentral:lncRNA from 1 species